rnacentral:SRP_RNA from 1 species
GGGUCUUGCGCAAUAGGACUCUACGAAUCUGGUCAGGGCAGGAAUGCAGCAGCCAUAAGAAGAAUCUCCUAUGUGCCGUGAGGGUGCCUG